rnacentral:rRNA from 1 species
CCCCUAGAUGUUCUGGGCCGCACGCGCGCUACACUGAACAGUUCAACAAGUCUUAACCUUGGCCGAUAGGUCUGGGUAAUCUUUGAACGCUGUUCGUGAUUGGGAUAGACCUUUGCAAUUAUGGGACUUCAACGAGGAAUUCCUAGUAAACGCAAGUCAUCAGCUUGCAUUGAUUACGUCCCUGCCCUUUGUACACACCGCCCGUCGCACCUACCGAUUGAAUGGUCCGGUGAAAUCUCGGGACGGCGGCUCGGUCGCUUGCGUCCGACUGCUGAAACUUGAUUAAACCAUAUCAUUUAGAGGAAGGUGAAGUCGUAACA